GGACUACAAGGGUAUCUAAUCCUGUUUGCUCCCCACGCUUUCGCGCCUUAGCGUCAGUACCGUCCCAGCGAGCUGCCUUCGCCGUCGGUGUUCCUCCUGAUAUCUGCGCAUUCCACCGCUACACCAGGAAUUCCACUCGCCUCUUCCGGACUCGAGCUCGACAGUAUCCACCGGCUUUCAAAGGUUGAGCCUUUGACUUUUACAGCAGACUGAUCGAGCCGCCUACGCGCGCUUUACGCCCAAUGAUUCCGGACAACGCUUGCCCCCUACGUAUUACCGCGGCGGCUGGCAC
rnacentral:rRNA from 1 species